CGCGCACAGCGGAUCAUUCACGAAGUAAUCACGUGCGUCUUGCGUCUAGUAUGAUGUUCUCCUCGUUGUAACUCAUAGUUUCCGCGUUUCACGCUUUCGACGCGAUCCUUCCCUUCCCAGGAUCGCGCCCAAGUGCGAACUUUUCAAAAUUCAACGAACCUUUGUGCCUUGUUUCUCAUCCUUCGAUCACCUCGGCUCUUUCUUUUUACUCUUUCCUUCUUCCUUUUGCCAAACGUGAUUUCGCGUUUUCAACGGGCCUGGAAUCUUGAUUUACCAGAUAUACUUCUUCAAUUUCGUAGCUUUUUUACUUUUCUUUUUUCAGCCUACAUUUCGUGCCGUGCAUCGGAGCCCAGCCCAUUGGUGCAGUACAAAUACAGGUGUUACUCGCAAGAAACAGCUCGUGCAUCUUUUAAUACUCAUAAAACUGCGUCUACCAUUGUGACUCGGAGGAAGUGGUCAGACAUAAAGAACACUGUCGGACAGUCGAACACACGUGUAAGAACACGGUGUAAAGUGUGAGGAUUGGACGUGACAUGUUACCAUAGGAACGACGAGUUUAAGAUCUAGAAAGUGAAAAUUAAUAUAAAGAUGUUACGGUAAAUGAGGAAAGUGCAAGGCAAUGUUUUCAAAACAAAAGAGAGGCGCAUUGCUUGUGAGAACGUAUUUUAAUCCUGGUGAAUACCUCUCGCUCGGUGCACGCCUCAGGGUGCGUCUGCAUCGUUGUUCGCGAAUACUUUCCCACCGUGGAGUUUGGCUGGAACAACGUCUACCAAUACGUACAUGUAUAUAUAUAUAUGUGUGUGUAUAUAUAUAUACAUUUUUCUUUUUCUUUUUGUAAAUAUGUUGUACUUUUAUAUAGAGUGCGAGUUUAUGACUUACACUUCGUUUCAGGUUAUGCUCUUGUUAUUAAGUUUUUUGAUUAAUAAAGAUCUAUCUGGCUGGUUGUUAUGAAAACAAACCGUAGUAGAGUUAAUGUCUGUCUUCAUGGAUGUCUUCAUGGAAGAAGUGCCAGAAAGUAAUCGCGUUCAUCGACGCUGUACACCAUAAACACGUAAUAACGUGGAGCCGUCGUCAUGGGUGUCCCACGUAUUAUGCAAGAGAUGGGCCGGUAGAAAAUUUUUCAGGCCGUUGAACAGAGUGUACGGUCCUCUGUAGCAUACCUUCGCCCACGAUCAAGUUCGAACUUACUCGAUUUCUCUUUAAGACCAGAAUAUCCUGUACAUGGUACAUCAAGAUUAGGACGCAUUAGUAUCAACGUAAUCAUCCCUAAAAAUUGUUGAGCCACUAAAAAUGCAAUAGCUCGAGGAAAAUAUUUACAAAUUGUCCCACCUUCUCGUGAAGGAUACCUCAAGCUACGAUUCAUAGGCAGUUGCGAACAAUUUAAUACCACUGUCACUCAGAGCUAACACAUUAUAUUAUGUUGGAUUUGAUUGAAGUGAUGGCACGGUUUCACCUAUAAUUUCGUGCAAUUUUAACGAGAAUCGCUUCAAAUUUGCAAUUUCAUUUCUCACAAAUAAUUUAAUAUGUGUAAAAUUACUUUUAAUAUUGACAAAAAGGACGCUAAUAAUUUCUUGAACAUAACCAUGACAGGGGGCGAGAUUGUCUUGAGACGAGUUUAGCGCAAAUUCCAGAUGAAGAAUAUAAGAAGAAACAACCAUAAACGCGACUCUUGAAGAACCCACUCGUCGAAGAAAUAUUAUACUAAACGAGUCAUUGAAACACAGAGUCCAUAAUGAUUCUUCGAAUUCCCCACAUUGUUUUGACUUAAUUCAGUGUGAAUUGGCCUUAACCAGGACUCGUUGUGUUCUCAAAGAGCGAAAUUAAGAAAGAGAAGGAGGCGCAGCAAGAGAAACAAAUGAACCGGGAGGAGAGUGAUGAGGAGAAGUACGAAGGAAUCGAAGAGGUGGCCGGGGACACGGAAGAGAAGAGAAGACGCGAGAAAGACGAAGAAACGAGAGGAAGGGAUCCGGAAUAUAAGUCUCUGCAAGGCCUCGCGGUUUCGCCGUUGCCUUCUCAGAACCGAUCGACUCUCGAAACGCGAGGGAACAACAAAAACCAGAUCGCUUAAAGUUGAUACCCAUUUCUUUACACCCCGAAUUUAAAUGCAAUAAAGUCGAUCCAAAUCAUUUCGGUUCCUUCGCCACUUUAUCGAUAAAUAAAGCUGUUUGUUAGGCAAUCAAACCGAACCUCAUUAAUAAUCAAUAUUGCUUAAUCUAUACU